GUACUCCGGGGAUAACAGGCUGAUACCGCCCAAGAGUUCAUAUCGACGGCGGUGUUUGGCACCUCGAUGUCGGCUCAUCACAUCCUGGGGCUGAAGUAGGUCCCAAGGGUAUGGCUGUUCGCCAUUUAAAGUGGUACGCGAGCUGGGUUUAGAACGUCGUGAGACAGUUCGGUCCCUAUCUGCCGUGGGCGCUGGAGAACUGAGGGGGGCUGCUCCUAGUACGAGAGGACCGGAGUGGACGCAUCACUGGUGUUCGGGUUGUCAUGCCAAUGGCACUGCCCGGUAGCUAAAUGCGGAAGAGAUAAGUGCUGAAAGCAUCUAAGCACGAAACUUGCCCCGA
rnacentral:rRNA from 2 species